UUGUAGCUUAAUUGGUAGAGCGUAUGACUACGAAUCAUAAGGUUGGGGGUUCAAGUCCCUUCAAG
rnacentral:tRNA from 1 species